UGAUCAAAUACUUUUUUUUACUUGUUAUAUACAAAGGAGAAAAAAAUAUGACUAAGUUUAUCCAUUUUGUUUAUAUUAUGAUCUUAUUUUCCUUUCCAUAUUUUGUAGUAACCCAACUUGCUAUAAAAUGGUGUAAAUUGGACAUGGAUUGUCCAUGGGACUAUUGUCGUCCUGGUCGAAUUGCAGCAUGCAUGUUUGGAAUGUGUAAUUGUGUUACCAGAUAUUUUCGAUAUGAUCAUAAAAAUUAAUUAAUGGAACUUCACAUGUGAGAGAGGAUGAAGAAGCUUAUGCAUAGUUUAUUUUUUCACUUUAUUUCGUAUUUUAGUUUUGUAGUACUAGAUGGCCU